rnacentral:rRNA from 1 species
UAAAAGUUGAGUUUGGUGAUGGCUCUGAUUGAAUGCUGUCCAAGUGCUUGACACAUGCUAAUCGUACGUUUUAAUUUUUUUAAAUUAAAAAGUGGUGUACAGGUGAGUAUAAUGAUAUUCUUCGCCGGCCUUAAAGUGAAGGUAAAUCCUUCAUAAUAAAUAAAGGAAACGUAAGGUUGUCUUAAUUAAGUUUAAGUAACUAGUUUCUGCUUUAAGAGGACAAUAAAUAUCUUCGAGAUAGGUAGUAGUUAAGGUGAUGGCUUAACUAGCCUUAAACUCUCGUAGUCGAAUCUGAAAGGUUGAUCGACCACAUUGGGUCUGAAAAAACCCCAAUGCAAGUUAGUACAGCAGUGAGGAAUCUUGGUCAAUGGCCUAACGGCUGAACUGGCAACUUGGAGAAGUGGCAAGUCUUAUAAUUUCUAGUAUUAGGUAUUUCUAUAUUUAUAAGAUUCUAUUAGAAUUGAAUGAAGCUUUGUUUAUAUAUUGAUAAUGACAGUAUAUAUAUCGUGUCUUGACUAAUUGCGUGCCAGCAGUCGCGGUAAUACGUAAGAGACUAGUGUUAUUCAUCUUAAUUAGGUUUAAAGGGUACCCAAACGGUCAAAAUAGCUUCUAUAAUGUUAGUACUUGACUAGAGUUUUAUGUAAGAGGGCAGUACUUGAGGAGGAGAGAUGAAAUUCUAUGAUACCAAAGGGACUCUGUAAAGGCGAAGGCAGCCCUCUAAGUAAAAACUGACGUUGAAGGACGAAGGCUCAGAUCACAAACAGGAUUAGAUACCCAAGUAGUCUUUGCAGUAAAUGAUGAAUGCCAUAGGUCAGAGUAAGAUUUAAUAGUAGUAGGCCGGCUUAUUGCAUAGCGAAAAAAAACUGGCUAAGGCUCGGACUACACAUUAAACAUUAUUUGGUCUAUAAAUGAAAGUGUAAGCAUUUCACCUCAAGAGUAAUGUGGCAACGCAGGAACUGAAAUCACUAGACCGUUUCUGACACCAGUAGUGAAGUAUGUUGUUUAAUUCGAUGAUCCACGAAAAACCUUACCACAAUUUGAAUAAUUAUAUUACAGGAGUUGCACGGCUGUUUCCAGUUAAUGUUGUGAAACUGUGGUUUCCAUGAAAUUAACGUAAUCCCUGGCUUUAUUUUUUUUAAUUUACUAUAAAGCAUUUGAUCCUGAAAAUUUGGAAAGAGAAAGGGGACAAAGACAAGUCAUCAUGGCCUUGAUAUUGUGGGCUAUAGACGUGCCACAUAUACCUAAACAAAGAGAUGCAAAAAUGUGAAUUUAAGCUAAUCUCAAAAAAUAGGAUAUAAAUUUUAAGGAUUGUAGUCUGAAAUUCGACUAUAUGAAUAAGUAAUUACUAGUAAUCGUGAAUCACCAUGUCACGGUGAAUGGACCUUGGAUUGGUACUAACCACUCGUCACAUGCUGAAAGGAGCAUGCGCAAUAAGUUUGCUUUCUUAGUAAUAAGUAAAAAAAACGAAUAGGUUUUGUAUUUUCUUUUAUUGGGAAUCUUCGUAUGCGUGGCUCUAAUUAGUGUUAAGUCGAAAUACGGUUCGCGUAGUGGAAGUUGCGCGGGGUAAAUUAAUUUU